UAAGAGGUUAGAAUGAGUGAGGGGA
rnacentral:piRNA from 1 species